rnacentral:rRNA from 1 species
AUGCACGCAAGUGUGAUAAGGGAACCCAAAGUGCUUAUGCAUAGCAUAGGCUUUUGCCAAGAGUAAAUAUCUUGGAGAAUAAGUGGUGGGUAAGACUGGUGCCAGCAGCCGCGAUAACACCAGCGCCACGAGUGGCAACCCUAUAUUGGGUCUAAAGCGUCCGUAGCCUGUUAAGCAAGUCUCUUGUGAAACUGUUAUCCUUAAUGUAACAACGUGCAAAAGAUACUACUUAACUUGGAACUGGGAGGAGUCAGGAGUAUUCGAAGGGGAGCGGUAAAAUGCUAUAAUCCUUCGAGGACUACCUGUGGCGAAAGCGCCUGACUAGAACAGAUUCGACGGUGAGGGACGAAAGCCAGGGGAGCAAACCGGAUUAGAUACCCGAGUAGUCCUGGCCAUAAACGCUGUGAGCAAGGUGUCGCAUAUUCUUCGUGAAUAUGCGGUGUCGAAACGAAGGUGUUAAGCUCACCACCUGGGAAGUAUG